GAUCAGUUCGAAGAGGCAACACAAAGAAAACAAGAUAUUGACAUAAACCAAAAGGAAGCCCUAAGAUGGCAAAGAUUUCACGCAAUCAUCUUGUUCUCGUAGCCUUUUUCCUUCUUUGCUUUGUUUCCACUUGUGCUAGAGCAGCAAGGACUUUGCGAGAGGCUAGCAACCACGGAGCAGAGAAAACGGACCAAAAUGAUAUGUUUCCAUCAAAAGAAAAUGGUUUACCAGAUGUGGAGGAAUUGGUUGGGAUGGACUACACUCCAGCCAGAAAGAAGCCUCCAAUCCACAACUAAAAGAAUGAAAAUUUCUGGUUGAGCUACGACAAGAGUCUUGUCUAUUCUAGUACUCAUCAUACACAAAUAUUGCAGUCUGUGUGUGUAUAUAUAUAUUAGUACAUGGUUAUUUAGGAGUGUAACUUGCAAAGAAUACUGCACUAGGAGGGGUUUAAUUAGUCUAUCGAAAUUUGUUUUUUGUAAAUUAGGUUAUAAGUCAUGGCUUAAAGAACUAACAGUAACUUGAGAUACAGAAGUAUCAAUUAUGCUUGUAAUACCUUGGAUAUGAAAUCCAAGUACACUUUUCUUUUUCCUCCC